CAUGUUUUCAAAGAUCUGCCGUCACUGAUUACACUGGAUUUAUCAUACAAUCAGUUGACACUAGAUGGCGUGACUUGGCCUGACGGUCUUCAACUGAAGUGGCUGUUUCUUGAAGACAAUCACAUCACCAGCAU